CUUUUGUUACAUAGUAUUUUCUCCAGUAGAUGAGUGAUCACAGUCACUCAGUACAUCCUACUCCCCCAUCAGCCCUCCCACGCAAUCAAAUAAAGUGGUGGUGUUGUAAUAGAUGAACAUUUUAUGGGAAGCUUUACUGUUGAGUUCUCCAUGAAACAUUUUCUUUUCCCAUAAUCCUAUGUGUAACUUUUCAUGUAAUAAAAGUUCUUCAAAGAGUUCGAAUCUAGAAUAUAUGCUUUAAUGUUCUUCCAGAUGUUAAAAUGAAAAAUAAAAUAGAAUACUUUUUAUCUCUAGGAAAGAACUUGUUUGCUAUUUAAUUUAUGUGGUAUAUUUUUACAAGGAAAAUGUUUAUAUUUCUGAAAUAAAAAUGAGUCAGUUUUACUUUUAAAUUAAUAGAGAAUGCUUUCGAAGUAGAAAUUUUCGAACAUGUUUUGUAUUACUAAGCUCCAACUCUUGCUUUUAACAGAUAGAAGGCCUCCUGCCCGAAGGUCUCCGGAGGCCUCAGAAGUGGUUUAACAAGUGAGAACACUGAAGAAGCAUGCAUUGUUGUGUUUCAAUAGAGCAAGCCACAGGGCACAGUGAGGGAAAGUGUGAGGUACACUGCAAGACUGUGCAAAGCACGUGUGUAUUUGAGUGGCUAAAAGAACAGAGAUGUUCUAAGGUUCGGCUGUUUGAUUUCAAGGGUUGCUUUGACCCUUAGUUCUUUGUUGGAACCUGUAUAACAGAUAGCUAGGCUGUUCUUUUGAACACAGAAUCCGUGUGUGUUUAAACCGUGCAGAAAUUUUACUCAAAAGUAGACAUGUUUAAAAGUUGAAUUUUUGUUUUCUGUGACUAUUAGGGAAGAUGUACUAAAACAGUUCCUUGGAACAACAAUUUAAAGAAAGUUAUAAGCAACAUCCUAUUGUCAAAAUUUUAGUAUUCUGAAUGUAAUAAAAUUAAAACCCAAAUGUUCAAGGAAUGCUAUUUUAUAUGAUGUCAAUGAAAUUUUAUAUUUUAAUAUGUUUAAAUACAUAAAUAAAACUACCUCUUUUCUGAACCGACAAAGUGUUACUACUACAUAGAAAUACUUAAUUACUAAC
rnacentral:lncRNA from 1 species